CGGGGGGCAGCAGUGAGGAAUAUUGGACAAUGGAUGGAAAUCUGAUCCAGCCAUGCCGCGUGCAGGAAGACGGCCCUAUGGGUUGUAAACUGCUUUUAUACGGGAGCAAUAAGGACUAUGCGUAGUUUGAUGAGAGUACCGUAUGAAUAAGCACCGGCUAACUCCGUGCCAGCAGCCGCGGUAAUACGGAGGGUGCAAGCGUUAUCCGGAUUUAUUGGGUUUAAAGGGUGCGUAGGCGGUUUAUUAAGUCAGCGGUGAAAGUUUUCAGCUUAACUGGAAAAAUGCCGUUGAUACUGAUAAGCUGGAAUAUGGUUGCUGUGGGUGGAAUGUGUGGUGUAGCGGUGAAAUGCUUAGAGAUCACACAGAAUAUCGAUUGCGAAGGCAGCUCACAAAGCCAUUAUUGACGCUGAUGCACGAAAGUGUGGGGAUCAAACAGGAUUAGAUACCCGAGU
rnacentral:rRNA from 1 species